rnacentral:lncRNA from 1 species
UCACGAGGGACUUAGAAAAAAAAUUAUAGAGGAGUUGGCAAAAGGAAUCACCAUCAAGGGGUGGUGUCCUAAUUGAAAGUAAAGUCCACCUAACACAUAUAACAAUAUCACUCAAACAAGUAGACAGACUAACAACUAUCCAUCCUUCACACCCUAAGAGGUUACCAGGAUCGAAUGGGAGACGUAACCAAGGGCUUAGGUCUCAACCACUCUCACUUUCCCCUAGGGUGUCAUCCUCGAAAUUAAGCAAGCCCUCUUUAUCACUAUUGAAAAUAUCAUGAACUAAAAGAGGGUUGAGAAAGGUGUUCCAUAAGUCAACUUCAAAUAAAGGGUUCCCAUGCAUGCACUUACUACUAGUUUCAAAAUUUCCACUAGGAAUAUGCCCAACAUAAGAAACACAUAAAGACGAAGUAGAUGG